rnacentral:tRNA from 1 species
UGUUUUUGUAGUUGAAU